UAUUAUUUAAUAUGUAAAUUUGUAUCUGGAGUAGUAAUAGUUAAGUUCUAUAAACUUAAAGAAUUUGGCGGUGCUUUAGUCUUUUCAGAGGAAUCUGUUCUUUAAAUGAUAAUACACGAGUUGUUUUACUUAAUUUAGUUGUUUGUAUACCGCCGUCAUAAGAAUAUUUUGAUAAGAAUUUUAAUUUUCUUAAUUUUUGAUUAAAAAAUAUGUCAGGUCAAGGUGCAGCUUAUAAUUAAGAUGAAAUGGAUUACAAUAAAAUUAUUUAUAUGAAUAUAAGUUUAAUAGUUUAUUGAAGGUGGAUUUGAUUGUAAAUUUGUUAUUAUUAUCAUUUUGAUUUUGGCUCUAAAGUGUGCACACAUCGCCGGUCGCUCU
rnacentral:rRNA from 1 species